GACGAACGCUGGCGGCGUGCUUAACACAUGCAAGUCGAGCGGAAAGGCUCCUUCGGGGGUACUCGAGCGGCGAACGGGGGAGUAACACGUGAGUAAUCUGCCUCUGGCUUCGGGAUAGCCACCGGAAACGGUGAUUAAUACCGGAUACGACACAUCACUGCAUGGUGCGUGUGUGGAAAGUUUUUUCGGCCAGGGAUGUGCUCGCGGCCUAUCAGCUUGUUGGUGGGGUAAUGGCCUACCAAGGCUUCGACGGGUGGCCGGCCUGAGAGGGUGACCGGCCACACUGGGACUGAGACACGGCCCAGACUCCUACGGGAGGCAGCAGUGGGGAAUAUUGGACAAUGGGCGGAAGCCUGAUCCAGCAACGCCGCGUGAGGGAUGACGGCCUUCGGGUUGUAAACCUCUUUCAGCACAGACGAAGCGCAAGUGACGGUAUGUGCAGAAGAAGGACCGGCCAACUACGUGCCAGCAGCCGCUGUAAUAC
rnacentral:rRNA from 1 species